GACGAACGCUGGCGGCGUGCUUAACACAUGCAAGUCGAACGGAAAGGCCCUGCUUUUGUGGGGUGCUCGAGUGGCGAAAGGGUGGGUAACACGUGAGUAACCUGCCCUUGACUUUGGGAUAACUUCAAGAAACUUGGGCUAAUACCGGAUAGGAGCUCCUGCUGCAUGGUGGGGGGUGGAAAGUUUCGGCGGUUGGGGAUGGACUCGCGGCUUAUCAGCUUGUUGGUGGGGUAGUGGCUUACCAAGGCUUUGACGGGUAGCCGGCCUGAGAGGGUGACCGGCCACAUUGGGACUGAGAUACGGCCCAGACUCCUACGGGAGGCAGCAGUGGGGAAUAUUGCACAAUGGGCGGAAGCCUGAUGCAGCAACGCCGCGUGCGGGAUGACGGCCUUCGGGUUGUAAACCGCUUUCGCCUGUGACGAAGCGUGAGUGACGGUAAUGGGUAAAGAAGCACCGGCUAACUACGUG
rnacentral:rRNA from 1 species